rnacentral:rRNA from 1 species
UACGUAGGGCGCAAGCGUUGUCCGGAAUUAUUGGGCGUAAAGAGCUCGUAGGCGGUUUGUCGCGUCUGCUGUGAAAACCUAAGGCUCAACCUUGGGCUUGCAGUGGGUACGGGCAGACUAGAGUGCGGUAGGGGUGACUGGAAUUCCUGGUGUAGCGGUGGAAUGCGCAGAUAUCAGGAGGAACACCGAUGGCGAAGGCAGGUCACUGGGCCGCAAACUGACGCUGGAGGAGCGGAAAAGCAUGGGGAGCGAACAGG